GAUGAACGCUGGCGGCGUGCCUAAUACAUGCAAGUCGAGCGAACAGACGAGGAGCUUGCUCCUCUGACGUUAGCGGCGGACGGGUGAGUAACACGUGGAUAACCUACCUAUAAGACUGGGAUAACUUCGGGAAACCGGAGCUAAUACCGGAUAAUAUAUUGAACCGCAUGGUUCAAUAGUGAAAGACGGUUUUGCUGUCACUUAUAGAUGGAUCCGCGCCGCAUUAGCUAGUUGGUAAGGUAACGGCUUACCAAGGCGACGAUGCGUAGCCGACCUGAGAGGGUGAUCGGCCACACUGGAACUGAGCCACGGUCCAGACUCCUACGGUAGGCAGCAGUAGGGAAUCUUACGCAAUGGGCGAAAGCCUGACGGAGCAACGCCGCGUGAGUGAUGAAGGUCUUCGGAUCGUAAAACUCUGUUAUUAGGGAAGAACAAAUGUGUAAGUAACUAUGCACGUCUUGACGGUACCUAAUCAGAAAGCCACGGCUAACUACGUG
rnacentral:rRNA from 1 species